ACAACUCCAGACUCUUGUGGCCCGGCCCAAGUUGGUUUCACAAUUAAUCUAGGUCAUUACCUUUUCCCAGCCUCCCUGUUCCUCUCGAUCUCUCUCACGCUGCCCACCGCCCCUCAACCUACCUGCAUCCCGGAGCGCCGCCCCUCACCACUCCCCUGCGAUCCUCCGUCUCGGAAGGCCGCCCCUCACCACUCCCCCUGCGAUUCUCCAUCCUGGCGCGCCGUCCCUAGUCAACUCUCCUCUGCGACCUUGCUUCCCGGCGCGCCGCCCCUCGUCACCGCUUCCCUACGACCAACUGCGUCUACUACCUCCGCACGAGGGCCUGCGGCUACGGGCAGAGUUACCGCUACAACAACCCUCGCGAUCGCGCUGCCGUGGCCUGAUCACUCACGCCGUCAUAUGCUCAUAUUUCUUUCCGAGACUUCGGAGCAGGUUACAAUAUCAACUUUCUCUACUAAGUAAUAAUUACCUAAACUCGGUGCAGAGAAAUGCAAUCACACUCAAGCACUGAUAUGUUGCAAUGGACAUGACCCCAAAACUUUCUCCCUGUCUUUUAUUUGAGACAUAGUUUGGUAACUUUUUGUUGCAUAUUUUCAUCCGCUUAAAAGACCAUUUCGAUCUCUAUGUUCUCUGCUACUACAAACUGAGGAGCAGCUUGACAACUUUAUGAAGCUCAGUCGACUAAGCCACUGUGACGCUGGGGGAGAAGGACAUCGGUGCAGAGCAUGGCAAGGCCGAGUACUUGUUGGAUCUUAGGGCCUCUAAUCCACAGUUCUCCGCAUCAUCAUCCAUCAGCAUUUGGUGACAUUAUUAGCACUCAGAGCUUCAUAAGGCUUUCUGCCCACUACAGUUGGAGUUCAAGAGCGUAAGGAAGGUAAUCUGGUGAUCAAUCACUGUUGCUUGUCAGAAAACUCUGAAAAUAUUAUUGAGUACAUCUACCAUGAGCUAUGCUUGCCAUUUUAAAAGAUGUUUAUGUGAGCUUCAUGUCAUAUCAAUUUUUUUUGAAGCAAGCAGAUCUUGCGAUUUACUUAUGAUUUAUGAACAGAAAAUGUUUACUGUGUAACCCCUAAAUACAGUAGAAGAGAUUAGAGAAGCAGGUCUUAUAAAACUACGCUGAGACGAGUAGUACUUAUUUAGUCAAGUGACAUGUUAGAUAAAAUUCUACACCUAUUACAACUUAUCUGACUUCUGUAUUUUGUAAAGAUAGCUGAACUAGAUUGUGUUCCAGGAAUAAAAAACCAUGGAUGUUUUCCAUUUAUUCACUUGGCUUUUGGAAUUUGAUUGAUGUCCCCUUUCUCAUAUUAUUAACAACAUAUACCUACACGGUUCUCUCUACUGGUUUGCCAAAUUCUAGACACUUCUUGUGUGGUCCAUGCUUCCUCUUUGUACUAUGCUUACCUACAUUCGUAAUAUCACUCCUUUAUUCCCUUGACGUGCUUUUCCUUUACAAAGAAGAAUACACACCAUGGGGAAAAGAGAAGUAAAUUUGUAUUUGUAGUCUACAAACAGGGCGUCCUAAUUAUUUGUUCGAGCAUGCUACAGUCUUGUUUUCUCUGCCGUGUCUUCUCCUUUUCUUAGUAGUGUCACUACUGAUUGAUCUGCUCAGAUGUGCUAUUUAGAGUUUGAUCUGGAUAUAUACUAGCUAUUUUAUUAGGAGUUGGUGGUAAAGAUGAACUAAUGGUCGAUCCUCCCUGCUGUCCUCGCUGCACUUCAUGCAAAAUCACUGGGCCGGUACUGGGAGUACCUCAUUUAUGAUGGAUCUUAUACUUCAAAGCUUAUUUAUAUUGUCUAAUAUGUUUUAUUUGUACUAAUUUAGUAAAUUUAAUUUAUCUUUUGGCUUAAUAUGUCCAAGGUAUUGAUAUAGUAAUAUUUUGUUACCUGAUUAAAGCUCAAACAUACUGCUUCAGUAUCUCCCAGUAGGUGCCUCAGAAUUAUGCAGUUGAUCGUACCAUACUACUACUUGAAUAAAAAUGUUUAUCUUUGUGUUCUACACUGAAGCUAUCAUAUGAAGUUUAAUUAUUUUAAGCGUUCAUCACCAAAACUACUUUGUUGGUAGUGAAAGGCUUCAUAGAAUUUCAUAGAUGUUACACAUCAUGAGAUUAACCCGUAGAAGAAUGUAUUCAUAACCAUAUGACGUGUGUGAUGUUGGGUUAUAGCCGUUGUAUGCUGAAAGGCUUUUUCCCUUGCUUCCUUCCAUUUUCUUCUAUGUGCAUUGACUAGACGUAUGUUUUUACAAUGUGGCAUGGUUUGAGCAUUUUAAAUUCUUUACACGCUUCCAUUAUUUCCCGCCCCAUUUAUAUUGGUAUGUCCUUUAAAUAGCAGGCAGGUACAUGGCACAAUAUAACUCAGUGUUAGCUGGCUUAUAAUCUCUUAUCCCUUGAAAGACUUCAAAGAUGGCAUCUCAUGGGACAACACAAGAGACCAUAUAGUAAAGGAAAAGAUGCAAACACGAUAGGCAGGACCAAAAGUAUUUUUAAUGAGCCUGAAAAAUCAUAACGGAGACCGGUAUUGCUACAAUUGUAAGUUGUGAUCCUGAAUCUGAGCUUGAUGGUGCUGAAAUUACUAAUGAAUUGUAGAUAGUGCAUGUCGAUAUGGCACUUGUGAAAACUAAAUAUUUGGUAUGGAGUUGCAAAAACUGUAAUACUCUUGGUAAUGCAGAAUUUUUUUGCAUGGCAACCUUUGUAAGUGACUAAUAUCCUGCCUCUAUCACGAAUUGCAUCAUGCUUUGUGUGUUAACAGUUAAUUUUGUUUUUUUUGUUUGUAGAUUCAAAAGAUAAAUGGAUGAUUAUAUGGGUGUGUGGGCAAGCAUACUACUAUGAUGACGAUGAUGUUCGUGUUCAUGAUGAUGGAGACGGAUGCUUUCAGUUUUAGUAAAGUUGUAGGGAUGAUGUUCCUGUUGGACGAUGUUCCUCAAUUAUGUUUUAGUUAAUCUGUAGGGAUGUUGAUGCAUGGUUUCAAUUUAAGUUUCACCAUCAAGAGAACAUUUAUAUUAUACAUCCCAUUUGGAUGAUUUUCCUCAUGUAAUGUCUACCAUUGUAAUCAAACAGUUUUAUCUAA